rnacentral:rRNA from 1 species
AUUGAACGCUGGCGGCAGGCCUAACACAUGCAAGUCGAGCGAGCGGCGGACGGGUGAGUACUGUAUGGGGACUGCCCGAUAGAGGGGGAUAACUACUGGAAACGGUAGCUAAUACCGCAUACUAUCGGAUAACCCAUAUGGGAUUAGCUAGUUGGUGAGGUAAUGGCUCACCAAGGCGACGAUCCCUAGCUGGUCUGAGAGGAUGAUCAGCCACACUGGGACUGAGACACGGCCCAGACUCCUACGGAGGCAGCAGUGGGGAAUAGUGCACAAUGGGCGCAAGCCUGAUGCAGCCAUGCCGCGUGUAUGAAGAAGGCCCUAGGGUUGUAAAGGACGGUCAGUAGGGAGGCGUUACCGAAAGAAGAAGCAACGGCUAACUCCGUGCCAGCAGCCGCGGUAAUUC